CCUUCGAUAGCUCAGUUGGUAGAGCGGUGGACUGUAGAUCCAUAGGUCGCUGCGCUGGUUCAAAUCCGGCUCGAAGGA